CUUCGGACCUCGCGCUAAGAGAAGAGCCUACGUCUGAUUAGCUAGUUGGUAGGGUAAAGGCCUACCAAGGCGACGAUCAGUAGCUGGUCUGAGAGGACGACCAGCCACACUGGGACUGAGACACGGCCCAGACUCCUACGGGAGGCAGCAGUGGGGAAUUUUUCGCAAUGGGGGCAACCCUGACGAAGCAAUGCCGCGUGGAUGAAGAAGGCCUUCGGGUUGUAAAGUCCUUUCGUGGGGGACGAAAAGGUGGUUCCUAAUACGAGCUGCUGUUGACGUGAACCCAAGAAGAAGCACCGGCUAACUCCCGUGCCAGCAGCCGCGGUAAUACGGGGGGUGCAAGCGUUAAUCGGAAUCACUGGGCGUAAAGGGUGCGUAGGCGGUACGUUAGGUCUGUCGUGAAAUCCCCGGGCUCAACCUGGGAA
rnacentral:rRNA from 1 species